rnacentral:lncRNA from 1 species
UGGGUGAGCGUAAAACCUAGAUUUCUAGGGUUUGUUCCUAAGAUUUGGGAAGAGAAAAAAAGAAGAGAGAAGGGUGUCUCCUCUCCAUAUUUCUUCCAUCUCUUCAUCAUCUCUAGAUGUCCUUCUUCAACCUUUGAAAAGAUUCGAGAGAUUUGAAGAAAGGAUCUAAAUCAGCCAACAAAAUGAUCUUCACGUGAGCUAGCACUCCCAAGAAGAUCGCUCAGAUUGGGGCUUUGAGUGGACCUUCCAUAGAGGCGAGACACAUAUGCAUUUGCGAGCAACCAGCAAGAAUACUCUUUACUAUAUUUAUCAGCAGUGGUGAUCAUCGACCCACACUCAAGUAUCGAGUUCUACACUCAGAAUAG